CAAUAGCGUAUAUUAAAGUUGUUGCAGUUAAAAAGCUCGUAGUUGAAUUUUUGCUUGCCGCCGAUGUCGGAACUUCCGUACGUUCGGCGGCGUGCAUCCUUGGGUGGAACCUGUGUGGCAUUAGGUUGUCGUGCAGGGGAUGCUCAUCGUUUACUGUGAAAAAAUUAGAGUGUUCAAAGCAGGCUUACGCCGUUGAAUAUAUUAGCAUGGAAUAAUAAGAUAGGACCUUGGUACUAUUUUGUUGGUUUGCGCACCGAGGUAAUGAUUAACAGGGACAGUUGGGGGUAUCCGUAUUCCAUUGUCAGAGGUGAAAUUCUUGGAUUUCUGGAAGACGAACUACUGCGAAAGCAUUUACCAAGGAUGUUUNCAUUA
rnacentral:rRNA from 1 species